UAACGCGCGUCUAGCGACGAACAAGGAGAUAACUCGACGGCAUCGAGGCACGCCUAAAUAUCGUGCGCGAAACCAUAUAAGAGGUGUAAAGCAGAAGACGGACGCGUUACGGCAAGUACUAUUCGCCGCGCCCUGUAAAGCGUGUAGUGCGUGCUCGAGUAUUUGGCACAACCGCGUUAAGGUCGACUUGCGCGCUAGAAAGAGAGAGAUGACUAUCUUUAUAUACCGUUGGAAUCUUCGUCCGGCGAUCGCCCGGUAGUCCCUUGCCUCUCUCCUUAUCUCGUUCCACGAAACCAUAGAUCAGCCCGGAAGAGAAAGAGAGAGAAAGAGAAGCCGCGUUCUCUUCUCAGGUAUAUUAUCCGCGUGUUCGUGGCGCGCUAAAAUACCAAAACCCCGAAAACGGGCGUUAAGAUAGCGUUGGGCGUGACCGAGUCUGGGGGUCUGCAGGCAAACCGCGCUUAAAGAAGGGUUACGGCGAAGUAAUGGUCCGUGCUGAAGGGGCAGAGGUAGGAGGAGACGUAGACGAAGGCCUCAAGAAAUGAAAAAUCAAUAUCGGUCGUGUUCACGCACUCUCUUUUAUUCAUUUCGUCGAUCGGUCUUGUCUCAAGAUACCAUUUCAUGUGCAGCAUGCUGCCGCAGCAGUUUGUUGCUGUUGGUGAAGUUUAAUUGAACGAACAGCAAAGGCAACAAAGCAGAAGAACACAGACUGUUUAUUAUGGAUCGUGACUCUUUAUUGCCGAUGCCACUCGAUUGCACAUUGUGCAACGCGCCUUUCUAUUGUCUCCGACGCCAUGCGCCUGUCGGAACUUUGUAUAAAAGCGUAAAAAUAUAACGUCCGUUUCCUUUCUGCGCGUCCUUUGAGGCCGCUCGAUAAUUGACGGUCAUUAUCGCAAUUUGCUCGUCGUAUCGUGCCUCGCAAAAAAAAUAUGACAAAAUAAUCAACAAAAUAUAAGUAUCUCAUCAUCACGUUCAAAUGCAUCCGUGCAUUUACACGGAAAGAAUUUUCUUAGAAUUUACUCUA